CGCCAAGAAAGACAGAUGUGAAAGCCUGUAGAGGCCUCUGCAUUUUUACCCCAAUCUGUUCCCUACUUUCUGGAUAAUUAAUGGAUCAUUAGCGAGAAAGGUUUUUAUUAUAAAUGAUGAAUUAAAAUGCAAACGACGAGAACGACAACUGGGUGGCGGGGGUGGGUGCGCCUUGUUUGCAACGUCCCCUGCAACUGAAAUGUAACUUUGUGUCCGGGAGUGGCAACAUUGGAAGCGCCGCUCCGUUUGCCGCGCUCCUCGCCUUUGUUUGCUGCCCACAGUUAAGUUCAGCGCUUUUCGGAUUCAAAUCUUUGCAUCAGGCUCGGCUAUUCGCUGCUUUUUGAAAUAAAAGGGGGGUAUUUUUCCAGACAUGCGCGCUGCCAAACGAGUUGGGAGUUGCAGAGCUGGCGAGGCGGACAUGGUUCAUUGCGAUUCCUCGGCGUUUGCAGCACAGACCCCGAGGGCGCCGCGCUUUCCUCCUGCACGCACAUGGUGACAUAGAAAUAUUACGAAGUACAAUGAAGGAUUUGUCAAAUUAUUGUGGGCUGUGGUUGUGAAUCAGCUGGUUGGUGAAUGACCCCAGAGCAAUCUUCCCUGACAUCCUGUCCCCAACUCGCUUGCAGGUAAAUAUGGAUAAUUUUGAAGAGGACUUAACUUGUUCCGUAUGUUACUCUAUCUUUGAAGACCCUCGCGUGUUGCCUUGUUCUCACACCUUUUGUAGAACAUGUUUGGAGACUAUUAUCUACGAAUCGGGAAAUGUCUCCAUUUGGCGACCUCCGAAGAUCCCACUGAAAUGUCCAACUUGUAGGAGUGUUGUGGAUCUCCCAGCCAUGGGCAUUGUCUCUUUACCUAUAAACUUUUCACUGAUAGGAAUUAUUGAGAAAUAUCAGAAAGAACAACCUAAGUCUCCCAAAUGCCCAGAACACCAGCAGCCAUUAAACAUGUUCUGUUUGUUGGAUCGUAAACUGGUGUGUGGUCAUUGCUUAACAGUGGGCCAGCAUCAAAGUCAUUCCGUUGAUAAUCUCCACAAUGCUUAUGUUAAAGAAAAGGAGCAAGCUGGCAAACUUGUUGACCAGCUUACUGAUAAAUAUUGGGCAGACUUAUCCAUGUUCAUCGAAAAACUGGAGCAUCAGAAAUUGCAAGCUGAACACAUACUUCAAGAUGAUAAAGUGAUUGUCAACCAAUAUUUUGAAGAUCUUCAAAAAACUAUAGAAACAAAAAAGCAUGCUCUUCUGGCAAUCUUAGCCGAUGCCAACUUAAAAAUCGCAAAUGAAUACGAUCCACUAAUUCAGAAAAUGAAGGAAUUUAAGGAAGAGCAACGCAACCUUAUCACAUUCAGCACAUAUGUAGAAGAGGAAGAGGAUCCCUUGAUGUACCUGGAGAAAAUUCACACAUUCCGGCAGAGAGCAAACGCAUUGAUGAAAACGCAGCUUCCAGUCAUUCACCCGUUGAAUGUGCACUCACCGACACAACAAUUUCUGACUGAGAAAUGGUCCAAGGUCACAGUCGGCCGUAUUAAAGAAGCACCAAUUCUGCAAACAACAGAUUUUUUGGAAAUCCACUGGAAUAAACGUAUUGCAAUGUAUAUCAAGCAAAAAGGAUUUUCUCCAAGACUUAUAAUUACAGUUAUAUUUUUAUUCCUCUUGUUACUACAGAGCAUUUUGUUUAAGGAAUACUGGGUUGCUGUUUUCAGUACCACGGUUUUUAAUUUCCCACAGCUGAACACGUUAAGUGACACUGUAGUAGAAUGUUUUGCUGGUGUUCGUUUUUUUAAUGCUACUUUACAACAUUCUGUACAAUUGCUAACUAAUUUUUUUGCUCAACUGACGGAUUAUUUUCCUAUAUUUAAUAAAUAAUGGGUUUUCAAUUUACCACCAUUUUUCAAGCUUAUUUCCAUCAGAAAACCACUGAACAAGUCCAUCGAUAGGAAUGGUUUUCAUUUGACACAAACCGCAAGCAACAUAAUCCACCAGUGUUUAUUCUUAUGCUUCCAAACUCUGAAGAACCGAUUCCAAAUUGCUGGAAACUUCUCCAAGAGGCAACUACUCUUGUUGCAAACUUUUGCUUUAUCUGUGGAUGCUCACAACUAUUCAUGUGUAAGUAAUAGCUGCAACCAGGAAGGAAAUGUUUCAGAAAUUAUGCAGACGGGUAUUGGGACAAAAGGAAGUAAAUGAAUAAAAACAGAUUUCUUUUGUUAAACUAAUUAACUACUCAGACUGCUUUUCAUUAGCUACAUUUGCAUUGGAUGAAGUGAGUAAAUGUGCUGCCGAUCAUCUCUGGAAAUAUUUCCUCUCUGAUGAAUAAGAAUACAGAUAUAGGACCAGUAAUAAUAUUUUAUCCCAAUCAACAUGGAAAAUAUUAUUUAUGAUUAACAACUGUUUGCUGCCAAAUAUUUUUUUUUAAAUCACAGAUCACUAUCUUAAAAUAAUCAGUACCUUCUGAAAUGUAUUGACUUUCUGGAAUAUUGAAAGUGCAACUGAUUUUUUAACCAAAAGAAAAUCCAAGUCUUUCUUCUAAAACUGCGAUUCCCACUAGGCUCAUCCCAACUACCACUGAAAAAGAGCAUUGAGUUAUGUAGGAAACAUUUUGGUGAUGGAGGUGGGGAUAAGUAUGGUCUAGUAAGAGGGCACUUAAAAGCAGACUGCACAUUUUGAAAAUGCCCAGGUUCACAACUGGAUGAAUGUCUACAUAAAGCUUGAGUUUGGGAUUUGAAGAACCAAAAUAUAUUGUGUAUGUAUUUGGGAAGGGUGGGGAGGAGAAUUAAGGAGAAUAACACUAAUCAUGCUGGGAUACAAAUAUUGCAGAGCGUUGAUAAUAUGCAGAAUUUUACUUGUGAUGACUAAUGUGUACACAUAUUGACAAGUUAAUAGUCACUUAAACUCAAACUAUGCUUACAUGGAAAAUGUGCAUACAUAAUUGAAUUGUGUUAUCAUUUGUACCAAAUGUCUAUUUUUCACAAUAACCAUAUACUUUGUGGUAUUACUGACUUGAUAUUUAAAUAUAUGUUAUGUACUAGCACAACAAACAGCAAUAAAAUCAAAUUUGAAAAUAA